CCUACGGGUGGCAGCAGUGAGGAAUAUUGGUCAAUGGACGAGAGUCUGAACCAGCCAUGCCGCGUGCAGGAUGACGGCUCUAUGGGUUGUAAACUUCUUUUGUCUUGGAGUAAACCCCCCUACGUGUAGGGCCUUGAAAGUAUCCUACGAAUAAGGAUCGGCUAACUCCGUGCCAGCAGCCGCGGUAAUACGGAGGAUCCAAGCGUUAUCCGGAUUUAUUGGGUUUAAAGGGUGCGUAGGCGGGUUGGUAAGUUAGAGGUGAAAUACCGGUGCUCAACACCGGAACGGCCUUUAAUACUGGAGAACUAGAGAGUAGUGGCGGUAGGCGGAAUGUAUGGUGUAGCGGUGAAAUGCUUAGAGAUCACACAGAACACCGAUUGCGAAGGCAGCUUACCAAACUAUAUCUGACGUUGAGGCACGAAAGCGUGGGUAGCAAACAGGAUUAGAUACCCGGGUAGUC
rnacentral:rRNA from 1 species